GACGAACGCUGGCGGCGUGCUUAACACAUGCAAGUCGAACGGAAAGGCCCCGUUGGUGGUGCUCGAGUGGGGGACGAGUGAGUAAGAAAUAAGUGACCUACCCUUGACUGAGGGAGGACUACAUGAAACUAAGGCUAAUACCGGCUAGGAAGCCUUGCUGCAUGGUGGGGGUUGGAAGGAUUCGGCGGUUUGGGAUGGACUCGCGGCUUAUCAGCUUGUUGGUGGGGUAGUGGCUUACCAAGGCUUUGACGGGUAGCCGGCCUGAGAGGGCGACCGGCCACAUUGGGACUGAGAUACGGCCCAGACUCCUACGGGAGGCAGCAGUGGGGAAUAUUGCACAAUGGGCGGAAGCCUGAUGCAGCAACGCCGCGUGCGGAAGACGGCCUUCGGGGUGUAAAACGCCUUUAGCAGGUGCGAAGCCUGUGGUGACGGUACCUGCAGAAGAAGCACCGGCUAACUACGUG
rnacentral:rRNA from 1 species